rnacentral:rRNA from 1 species
AGAGUGAACGCUGGCGGUAGGCCUAACACAUGCAAGUCGAACGGCAGCACAGGAGAGCUUGCUCUCUGGGUGGCGAGUGGCGGACGGGUGAGGAAUACAUCGGAAUCUACCUUUUCGUGGGGGAUAACGUAGGGAAACUUACGCUAAUACCGCAUAAGACCUUCGGGUGAAAGCCGGGGACCUUCGGGCCUGGCGCGGAUAGAUGAGCCGAUGUCGGAUUAGCUUGUUGGCGGGGUAAAAAGCCCACCAAGGCGACGAUCCGUAGCUGGUCUGAGAGGAUGAUCAGCCACACUGGAACUGAGACACGGUCCAGACUCCGUACGGGAGGCAGCAGUGGGGAAUAUGGACAAUGGGCGCAAGCCUGAUCCAGCCAUACCGCGUGGGUGAAGAAGGCCUUGGGUUGUAAAGCCCGUUUUAGUGGGAAAGAAAUCCUGACCGUAUAAGUACUCAGUAGGAUGAACGGUACCCAAAGAAUAAGCAACCGGCUAACUUCGUGCCAGCAGCCGACGGUAAU